rnacentral:lncRNA from 1 species
UGCUUAUCAAAACCUCGAAAUUACAUUUUCUUCAACUUCCAAUCGCAACAACUCUCCAUCAAACCGUCGAUUCCCCAUGGACUCGACCUCAACUUCCACGUCGAGAUUCCGAUUCAGAGAUCACAAUCAGGAAAUCGCCGCCGGCGAAGACUCGUCGGAGGGCCACACCACCGCCGAUUCUUCCUCCGUUUCGAGUAACGAAGAUGAAUACCCGCCGGAGCUUCAGUCCAU